rnacentral:rRNA from 1 species
AGAAUCAACGCUGGCGGCGUGCCUAACACAUGCAAGUCGAACGAGAAAGUGGAGCAAUCCAUGAGUAAAGUGGCGCACGGGUGAGUAACACGUGACUAACCUACCCUUGAGUGGGGGAUAACCUAGGGAAACCUGGGCUAAUACCGCAUAAUACCUUCGGGUCAAAGGAGCAAUUCGCUUAAGGAGGGGGUCGCGGCCGAUUAGUUAGUUGGCGGGGUAAUGGCCCACCAAGACUGUGAUCGGUAUCCGGCCUGAGAGGGCGCACGGACACACUGGAACUGAAACACGGUCCAGACUCCUACGGGAGGCAGCAGUGGGGAAUUUUGCGCAAUGGGGGAAACCCUGACGCAGCAACGCCGCGUGGAGGAUGAAGCCCCUUGGGGCGUAAACUCCUUUCGAUCGGGACGAUAAUGACGGUACCGGAAGAAGAAGCCCCGGCUAACUUCGUGCCAGCAGCCGC